rnacentral:miRNA from 1 species
CCGGGCGGGAGGGAGCGGG